rnacentral:rRNA from 1 species
UACGUAGGGGGCUAGCGUUGUCCGGAAUCAUUGGGCGUAAAGCGCGUGUAGGCGGCCCGGUAAGUCCGCUGUGAAAGUCGGGGGCUCAACCCUCGAAUGCCGGUGGAUACUGUCGGGCUAGAGUGCGGAAGAGGCGAGUGGAAUUCCUGGUGUAGCGGUGAAAUGCGCAGAUAUCAGGAGGAACACCAAUUGCGAAUGCAGCUCGCUGGGACGUAAUUGACGCUGAGACGCGAAAGCGUGGGGAGCAAACAGG